rnacentral:tRNA from 1 species
GUAGACGUUAGCUCAGUGGUUAGAGCACAGGCCUCUGGCUCUCGGGUCCGCGAGUUCGAGUCCCGUCGUCUAUA